UAACUGAUGUUUUGUUACUUCAAAUGGUGUUACUGCUGGUUGUUACUUCAUAAUGGUGUUACUGCAGUUUUGUUACUUCAUAAUGGUGUUACUGCUGUUUAGUCACUUCAUAAUGGUGUUACUGCCUGAACAGCUUCCUUAGUCAAUGCUAGCAUGACGCUAAUGCCCGGCUUUAGGUAUGCACGCGCACGUGUGUGUGUGUUUGCAUAUGUUUGUGUGGAUAAGCGUGCGCGCAGGCACAUGCACAUUCAGGUGUGCCAUGGAAAACAGGGAAAGCGUUGAGGGGUGGGGUGGUGUCCGACAAUUAAGGACAGGUGGUGGGCGGAGACUUCAGAGGGGUCGUGUCCAAAUGUCAUAUGGGGGUGUGUCCAGACUUCACAUGGGGGUGUGUCCAGACUUCAUAUGGGGGUGUGUCCAGACCGCAUAUGGGGGUGUGUCCAGACUGCAGAUGGAGAUGUGACCAGACUUCGAUGGAGGGGUGUCCAGACUCAGAUGGGGUGGUCCAGAAUUCAGAUGGAGGUGUGACCAGACCCAUGGGAGUGUGUCCAGACUGAAGAUGGACGUGUGACCAGACUCAUGGGGGUGUGUCCAGACUGCAGAUGGAGGUGGGACAAGGCUAUAUAUGGAGGUGUGUCCAGACUACAGAUGGAAGUGUGACCAGACUGCAGAUGGAGAUGUGACCAGACUACAGAUGGAGAUGUGACCAGACUCAUGGAGGUGUGACCAGACUGCAGAGGAGUUUUGUCCAGACUUCAGAUGGAGGUGUGUCCAGACUGCAGAUGAAGGGCAGACCAGACUGCAGAUGGAGGUGUGUCCAGACUGCAGAUGGGGUGUGUCCAGACGCAGAGGAAGUGUGACCAGACUGCCAAUGGAGGUGUGUCCAGACUGCAGAUGGAGGAGUUGGAGGUCUCAGAGUCAGAUGGGGGUGUGUCCAGACUGCAGAUGGAGGGUGUGUCCAGAUCAGAUGGUUGGGACCAGACUGCAGAGUGGGUGUCCAGAACUACAGAUGGAGGUGUGACCAGCUCUGGGGGUGUGUCCAGACUACAGAUGGGUGUGUGUCCAGCGCAGAUGGGGUUGUGUCCAGACUGCAGAUGGAGGUGUGUCCAGACUACAGAUGGAGGUGUGACCAGACUCAUGGGGGUGUGUCCAGUCUACAGACGGGUGUGUGUCCAGACUACAGAUGGGGGUGUGACCAGACUGCAGAUGGAGGUGUGUCCAGACUACAGAUGGGGGUGUGUCCAGGCUCAUGUGUUGACGGUGUUGGCUGCCGUCAGAGAGCUGCAAACUGAGAAUCUGGUCUCUGCAUCAGGACCUCUGGACUGUCACACUCAACACCUGCCAGGUGGACACAGAACACACAGAACACACACACACAACACACACACACACACACACACAAUACACAGAACACACACACACACCAACACAGAAUACACAAAACACAGAAACACACACACACACACACACAGAAUACACACACACACACAACACACAGAACACACACACAAACAGAACACACACACACAGAACCACACAGAACACACACACACACACAGAACACACACGCAGAACACACAGAUCAAACACAACACCAGAACACACACAGAACACCACACACAGAACACACCACAGAACCAACACACAGAACACAAACAGAACACACACACACAGAACACACACACAGAACACCACACACACAGAACACACACACAGAACACACACACAGAACACACACACAAACAUAACACACACACACACAAACCACACACACACAGAACACACACACACAUAUAUAUCUCAGUUCAUUUAUACAUCAGUCUAUCUCCUCUCAGUCUAUCAAUAUUCACCAAUGUUUUAGUCUGUUUUGAAACUUUUAAAAACCAAUAUGAAGCCAAUACAUGAAAGUAACCCCCCCCCCCCCCCCCCCCCCCCCCCCCCACCCCCCCCCCCCCCCCCCCCUCUCUGAAAAAGCGUAAAAC
rnacentral:lncRNA from 1 species